rnacentral:rRNA from 1 species
GAACCGCCCAAACGUUUAUUCGGAAUCACUGGGCUUAAAGGGUGCGUAGGCGGCGUCGUAAGUCGGGUGUGAAAUCCCACGGCUCAACCGUGGAACUGCGCCCGAUACUGCGGUGCUCGAGGGAGACAGAGGGAAGCGGAACUGAUGGUGGAGCGGUGAAAUGCGUUGAUAUCAUCAGGAACACCGGUGGCGAAAGCGGCUUCCUGGGUCUCUUCUGACGCUGAGGCACGAAAGCUAGGGGAGCGAACGGGGAUUAGAUACCCCGGUAGUCCUAGCUGUAAACGAUGAGCACUUGAUCGAAGACUCCUCCAUAGGUUUUCGGUCGUAGCGAAAGUGUUAAGUGCUCCGCCUGGGGAGUAUGGUCGCAAGGCUG